rnacentral:misc_RNA from 1 species
AGGGUGCAGGUUCAAGUCUUGAGAAUACUCACUACUGCAAAAAUGCUCAAGGGUAGGACUCCUUCCAAAUUCUCCCUUGAGGCCCCAUUUCAUUGGGACCUUAACCGGGUGAUACCUUUACCAUGCUGUCAAAUUGCACAUUAUUUUCCAUGUAAAUUUUAUUCUACCCGUUCUUGUUAUAUUUGGACCAUCUAUAUAUUUUUGUUUAGAUUUCUACUUCAUCAAAAGGUACA